UGCCGUGGUUUCGACGGCUCGUCUGAAAUGCCUGAGUGUACCCCGCUUUGCGGCGCAUUCGGUGUGAUAUAUCUUCACCGGAGUUGACCCGAAAGGAUCGCGCCUGUAAUGGUGUGGCUCUAUGCUUUCCAACCGUCCUUGACAAGGACAAUCUCUGACAAUUUGACCUCAAAUCGGGUGGGGCUACCCGCUGAACUUAA
rnacentral:misc_RNA from 1 species